rnacentral:RNase_MRP_RNA from 1 species
GUUCGCGCUGAAGGCCUGUUUCCUAGGCUACAGACGGAGGACGUGUUCCUUACCUUUCCGCCUAGGGGAAAGUCCCCGGACCACGGGCAGAGAGUGCCGCGUGCGUACGCACGUAGACCUACCCCACCUCUCACUGGUUAGCCCGCCAAGAAGCGACCCCACCGGCGGUGGGGGAGCCGAGCGGCGUGUGGCGGGGCGUCAUCCGUCAGUCACUCUAGUUACGCAGGCAGUGCCUCUCCGAGCGCACCAACCACACGGGGCUCAUUCUCAGCGCGGC